UACGUAGGGGGCAAGCGUUGUCCGGAUUUAUUGGGCGUAAAGAGCGUGUAGGCGGCUAGGUAGGUCCGUUGUGAAAACUCGAGGCUCAACCUCGAGACGUCGAUGGAAACCAUCUAGCUAGAGUCCGGAAGAGGAGAGUGGAAUUCCUGGUGUAGCGGUGAAAUGCGCAGAUAUCAGGAAGAACACCCGUGGCGAAGGCGGCUUUCUGGGACGGUACUGACGCUGAGACGCGAAAGCGUGGGGAGCGAACAGG
rnacentral:rRNA from 1 species